AAUGAACGCUGGCGGCAUGCCUAACACAUGCAAGUCGAGCGAACGCAUGACAAACCUGCCUUUCUGGUGUUCGCGGCGCACGGGUGAGUAAAAUGCGGCUAACCGACCUAUUAGACUGGGAUAACCGUGGCAAACCUGACCUUAUACCGGCUAAUAUUCUGAACCGGAUGGCUCAAAAGUUAAAGACGUUCUUGCAGUCACUUAUAGAUGGAUCCGUGCUGCAUUAGCUAGUUGGUAAGGUAACGGCUUACCAAGGCAACGAUGCGUAGCCGACCUGAGAGGAUGAUCGGCCACACUGGAACUGAGACACGGUCCAGACUCCUACGGGAGGCAGCAGUGGGGAAUCUUCCGCAAUGGGCGAAAGCCUGACGGAGCAACGCCGCGUGAGUGAUGAAGGUCUUCGGGUCGUAAAGCUCUGUUAGUAGGGAAGAAAAUGUGUGUAAUUAACUGUGCAGAUCUUGACGGUACCAAAACAAAAAGCCACGGCUAACUACGUG
rnacentral:rRNA from 1 species